rnacentral:rRNA from 1 species
UACGUAGGGGGCUAGCGUUGUCCGGAAUCAUUGGGCGUAAAGAGCGUGUAGGCGGCCCGGUAAGUCCGCUGUGAAAGUCGGGGGCUCAACCCUCGAAUGCCGGUGGAUACUGUCGGGCUAGAGUGCGGAAGAGGCGAGUGGAAUUCCUGGUGUAGCGGUGAAAUGCGCAGAUAUCAGGAGGAACACCUAUUGCGAAGGCAGCUCGCUGGGACGUAACUGACGCUGGAGACGCGAAAGCGUGGGGAGCAAACAGG